rnacentral:rRNA from 1 species
UACAGAGGGUGCGAGCGUUAAUCGGAAUUACUGGGCGUAAAGGGCGCGUAGGCGGAUGAGAAAGUUAGAUGUGAAAUCCCCGGGCUUAACCUGGGCAUGGCAUUUAAAACUUCUUAUCUAGAGUAGAGUAGAGGGAAGUGGAAUUUCCGGUGUAGCGGUGAAAUGCGUAGAGAUCGGAAAGAACACCAGUGGCGAAGGCGGCUUCCUGGACUCAUACUGACGCUGAGGCGCGAAAGCGUGGGGAGCAAACAGG